UACGUAGGUGACCAGCGUUGUCCGGAUUUACUGGGCGUAAAGAGCGCGAAGGCGGUCGUUCAAGUCGAGUGUGAAAGCCCCCGGCUCAACUGGGGAGGGUCACUCGAUACUGAUCGACUGGAAGGCAGGAGAGGGAAGCGGAAUUCCCGGUGUAGUGGUGAAAUGCGUAGAUAUCGGGAGGAACACCAGUGGCGAAGGCGGCUUCCUGGCCUGUUCUUGACGCUGAGGCGCGAAAGCUAGGGGAGCAAACGGG
rnacentral:rRNA from 1 species